rnacentral:rRNA from 1 species
GAAGCGGGAAGAGCUCAAAUUUGAAAGCUGGCGUCUUCGGCGUCCGCGUUGUAAUCUCGAGACGUGUUUUCCGUGCGGCUCUAUGGACAAGUCCCUUGGAACAGGGCAUCGUAGAGGGUGAAAAUCCCGUACUUGCCAUGGAAGUACCGUGCUUUGUGAUACACGCUCCAAGAGUCGAGUAGUUUGGGAUUGCUGCUCAAAGUGGGUGGUAGACUCCAUCUAAAGCUAAAUAUCGGGGAGAGACCGAUAGCGAACAAGUACCGUGAGGGAAAGAUGAAAAGCACUUUGGAAAGAGAGUUAAAAGUACGUGAAAUUGUCGAAAGGGAAGCACUUGAAGUCAGCCAUGCUGCUUGAGACUCAGCCUGGCUUUUGCUUGGUGUAUUUCUCGGUAGCAAGCCAGCAUUGGUUUGUGUCGUCGGAGAAGCGUAUGGGGAAUGUGGCAUCCUCGGAUGUGUUAUAGCCCUGUGCAGGAUACGACGAC